UUCUCUCAUCAGGUACAAAAUGCAACACAGAAGCCACUCCUGUCCUCUUCAGCACAGACAUGCGUGUGCCAUCCACAGGAGCCUCAGGCUUCGAACAUGGCGCAGCUGGUGCACAGUGCCUUCUCCCAGACGCCACUGCAGCUGCACGGCCACCAGGGAGAGAGAGGAGAGCCACGUUAGGGCCCAGGCUGUGCCUCCCCUUCCUCUACCAUCCUGACCCAGGACAGAAAAAGCAGAUGCCAUCAAUCAAGAUGAGGUCACCCUGGAGAAGAGCAAUGGGGUCCUUAAGAGAAUGUCAUAUGAGGAGAAAGACACACAGGAGAGGAAGACAUCAAGGCACAUGGAGAAGAGGCCAUCCACAAUGAAAUUCAAGCACAGCCGCAGCCACCAGAUGCUGGAAGGGGUGUGGAAUGGAUUCUCCUUGACAGUCUCAGAAGAAGCCCGCCCUGCAGGCACCCUGAUCUUGGACUUUCAGCCUCUGGAACAUGAGGAACCCGGCCGACAUCCCAUCGGAAUCACAAAACACAGUGGCUCACAUUGGAAGCACAUCAAACAGCGAUCUCUCCGAAGACUUUUAAGGGGAGCGAGUCAUUCACAGGAAACCUGAUCAGGAGGGACACGCAAAGGACACACAGGAACAAUGUGCUAACCGAGACGCAAGUAAGGACAUGCAGUCUAAAAUACGUCAGCAAAGCCAGCACUGAUGGCCACCUGGUAUUCAGAUCAUCUGCCAGUGGCACCAGAGGAAGAAGAGCUGAAGCAGGCUGGGACACCAGAGGAAGCGCACCUGCCUUCAGGACUAGCCCAACACCAGUCCCUAAACUGCUCUGAUGACCCAACACACACACAGAAGCUGUGUAAAUGGCAGCAUGUGCCUGCUAUCAUGCAUCAGGUGUUCCUCAAACAUCAGCUCACAAUGCAGGAAGCAGGUCUGUAAGGAAGUGCUGGAGCUGAGAAGACCAAGACACCAAGCUGUUGAAGACAGAAGGCCACAGAGAACUGACCACUGGUGAAAUCUGGAUUUCCUUUAGAAAGAACUGCUCGGUGUUCAGAAAAAAAAUAAAGAGGGC